rnacentral:rRNA from 1 species
UACGAGAGGCCCAAACGUUAUUCGGAAUUCCUGGGCUUAAAGAGUUCGUAGGCGGCAUGAAAAGUAGGGUGUGAAAGCCCUCGGCUCAACCGAGGAAUUGCGCUCUAAACUGUCGUGCUAGAGGAAGCUAGAGGUGAGCGGAACUGAUGGUGGAGCGGUGAAAUGCGUUGAUAUCAUCAGGAACACCGGAGGCGAAGGCGGCUCACUGGGGCUUUUCUGACGCUGAGGAACGAAAGCCAGGGUAGCGAACGGG